rnacentral:lncRNA from 1 species
GGCGCGGCGAACGCGGACGGCAGGGGAGAGACGCGCCGCCCGUUCUGGUGGAGCGUUUUCUCCCCGAGAAGCCGUGGUACGCGGCGCCGCGUGAUGACGUCACCCCCGGGAAACUCCGCGAAACCCGGAAGCGACAACGUCGGCGGGUGAGUGGGCGGAGCGAUGACGUUGGCGUCGGCAGCAGCGAGGAAGUGACGUGGGCAGCGAGCGCAGAAGAUGCGACCCCCACGAUCUUCGGCAUGUCGAGCCAAGAACUCUGCGCUCUGCUGGUAAGGCUCCCUGUGGACUGGGACGACACGGACGACGACGAGAGCACGGGAGACGAGAGUUGGGCUCCGCCCAUCGCACCAGUCUGCGAUCGUCGCAAGGUCCGUGGGGACCCACGUCACUUCCAGGGGGGUGAGAAGCGGCAACAACAACGGCGGCGUCCCUCCAGCGAGGGGAUGGGCAGCCUCCAGCCCGAAUGGCCAGAGUACUGCCCAUGGGAGCUUAUCGCGCCAUGGGUCCAGGAUGUCCGCAGGGUGGACGACCCUCGGAGUCACCGGUGGGAGGACACGGAUGACGAAAGCAAUGAUGACGUGGAUUUUCGGUGGGCGGUCGUUGCCGGGAUGGCUCCGCCCAGCGUGCGCGUCCGAGAUCAUCGCGGCGUCCGUGAUUACCCAUGUGACUUCCGGGGGUACGAGGUGGACACGGACGACGACCAGGAUGACGCCGUUUGGGCAGUCGGUGCCGGGAUGGCUCCGCCCAUCGCGCCCAUCCAGGAUCGUCACGAGGUCCGUGGAAACCCACGUCCCUCCCAGCAGUGUGAGGAAAGCUGGUGGAAGAGGGCGAUGGGAGGUCGCCAGCCAGCAACUGCGCUGCCGGGACUGCCUCGCAGGGAAUCCUCCAUUCCUGCUCCAGUCGCCAACCCGCCUUCCCUCUGCCCGGACGUUCCCCAGCGAAAUGGCAGCGCAGCACCAGCGCCCACACCUGCUGGAGAAGACGUCCACCCCCCUCCACACCACACACCUACCACCAUCUCCAGCGACGUGCCCAGCCCCGUGUGGGACAGCCCAAUUGUGCCGGG